GCCGGCCUGAAGUAUUUGCCAGACGAUUUGUCCUCGAGCCGAUAAUGCAGUACCCGGAGAGCACCUCCGCGGUGGUUGAGCAAGCCUGGCUUGAACCGGGAAGCCUGAAGCCGCGAGGUGGUCACCACCUUGAGCCGCAAGGGUUCAAGGGCUUAUUCGUCAGCGGUGCCACGGGCUUCUC
rnacentral:other from 1 species